CCUACGGGAGGCAGCAGUGAGGAAUAUUGGUCAAUGGGCGCGAGCCUGAACCAGCCAAGUCGCGUGAGGGAAUACGGUCCUAUGGAUUGUAAACCUCUUUUGUCGGGGAGCAAAAGACGCCACGUGUGGCGUUCCGUGAGUACCCGAAGAAAAAGCAUGGUCUAACUCCGUGCCAGCAGACGCGGUAAUACGGAGGAUGCGAGCGUUAUACGGAUUUAUUGGGUGAAUGGGGUGCGCAGGCGGAAGAUCAAUUCAGCGGUAAAAUUGAGAGGCUCAACCUCUGCGAGCCGUUGAAACUGGUUUUCUUGAGGGAGCGAGAAGUAUGCGGAAUGCGUGGUGUAGCGGUGAAAUGCAUAGAUAACACGCAGAACACCGAUGGCGAAGGCAGCAUGCCGGCGCUCAACUGACGCUCAUGCACGAAAGUGUGGGUAUCGAACGGGAUUAGAUACCCUUGUAGUC
rnacentral:rRNA from 1 species